UACGAAGGUCCCAAGCGUUAUCCGGAUUUAUUGGGUUUAAAGGGUGCGUAGGCGGAUUAUUAAGUCAGUGGUGAAAGCCCCAAGCUCAACUUGGGAACUGCCAUUGAUACUGAUGAUCUUGAGUACAUUUGAGGUGGGCGGAAUGUGUCAUGUAGCGGUGAAAUGCUUAGAUAUGACACAGAACACCGAUUGCGAAGGCAGCUCACUAAACU
rnacentral:rRNA from 1 species